UUUUUUUUAAUUUCUUUUAAAAUACAAAAAUAAACAGCUCAAUUAAGGGACAGAAGAUAAAAGGCAAGAGCAUGCUUGUCUUGAUAAUUCCCACUCUCCCAACAAUAUUAUCAUGGUGGUUCGUCCCAAUAUUUUUAAUAUCCGCCACUUCCAUAAAGCAUGCCUCAGGCACCUACUUUAGCAUAUCGUUUGCCUUUUGAUCUCCAGUGAAUCAAGGAACACCAAUCUAUACCCAAAUAAUUAAUUAGAGAGCACUACAGCCAGCUCCUUGCUAGACACAAUAGAAACAUAAAUUACAAGCAAUUCGAUUAUAUAUACAAUCACUAUCUUUCUCUUUUUGAGAAGGGAUGAUCAAAGAACAAAGCUAAAUCACGCGAUUGAAGUAUGGACAGCAGGAAGACGGAAAAGGAGCGCAUCCACCAGCAAAAGAAGCUGAUGGAAAUGAUGUUGAAAUUAUAAGGAGGGAGAGAGAGCUAACCUUCUUGAACACCCAUUUUAGGCAACUUUGUCUUUCUAAUUAUUUGCUAUUUUUCUCUCUUCAGAGAGGGAACGCCCGGACGGGCCUCCCUCUCUAUAAUAAUUGAAAGCACUUGGAAUCGAAAUCUUAGAGAUAACAAGCCGAUUGACGAUUAGUUUAUUUGAAAAAGAAAACCAAACUUUAGCCUUUAAG
rnacentral:lncRNA from 1 species